GUAGCUCAGUGGUUUAAAGCAUCUGCUUUGCAUGCAGAAGGUACUGGGUUCAAUCCCCGCCAGCAUCU